rnacentral:lncRNA from 1 species
CCACAGGGAACAGGGCAAUACGCGAUUCCUCAUGGACAGGACACUUCAGUCACACAGGACACUGCAAUCCUGUUUAUUCAAAGGUCACUGUGCUGAAAGCAAUAUCUGCAGAUAACAAGAAAUCCUGAAGACAGUCACAGAAGGACAAAUUGAAAGAAACAAGCAGAGCACAACACCGGAAAGUGGAUGAAGAAACAAAGCCCUGCCUUUGAAAGAGAUCUC